rnacentral:rRNA from 1 species
AGGAGACAGACAUUAGUGCGGCGAGUGAGCGGCAAAGCUCAAAUUUGAAAUCUGGCACUUUCAGUGUCCGAGUUGUAAUUUGAAGAAGGUAUCUUUGGGUCUGGCUCUUGUCUAUGUUUCUUGGAACAGAACGUCACAGAGGGUGAGAAUCCCGUGCGAUGAGAUGUCCCAGACCUAUGUAAAGUUCCUUCGAAGAGUCGAGUUGUUUGGGAAUGCAGCUCUAAGUGGGUGGUAAAUUCCAUCUAAAGCUAAAUAUUGGCGAGAGACCGAUAGCGAACAAGUACAGUGAUGGAAAGAUGAAAAGAACUUUGAAAAGAGAGUGAAAAAGUACGUGAAAUUGUUGAAAGGGAAGGGCUUGAGAUCAGACUUGGUAUUUUGUAUGUUACUCUCUCGGGGGUGGCCUCUACAGUUUACCGGGCCAGCAUCAGUUUGAGCGGUAGGAUAAGUGCAAAGAAAUGUGGCACUGCUUCGGUAGUGUGUUAUAGUCUUUGUCGAUACUGCCAGCUUAGACUGAGGACUGCGGCUUCGGCCUAGGAUGUUGGCAUAAUGAUCUUAAGUCGCCCGUCUUGAAAACACGGAACCA